CCAGCUUUUAGUUUAUGCCUGCAGGGGAUGGUGGGAAGUAAGGUAUCAUAUUGCUGAUUAUGCUGAAAAAUUUCAAUAAAAACUACCAAAACAACCGAAAUAUUUCAAUAUUUACAAGUAUAAGCUAUCACUCCGUGUUUACACGGCCACCAUUUUUAUUUUUUCAGCAUAAUCAGCAAUGUGAUACCUUACUUCCCAUCGUCCC